CAGUCCUGCACCCCCCGCUGGCAGACUUGUAUCGGGAACACUGACGACACUCUGGGCUUCGCUCUGGGAGCGCUGUUCGUCAAGGCGACCUUUGACAAACACAGCAAAGAGAUCGCUGAGGAGAUGAUUAACGAGAUCCGCUCAGCGUUUAAAGAAGCUCUGGACCGACUUGGCUGGAUGGACGACCACACGAGACAGGCUGCUAAAGACAAGGCAGAUGCGAUCUACGAUAUGAUCGGUUUCCCAGAAUUCAUCCUGGACCCCAAAGAGCUGGACGACGUUUAUGACGGGUAUGAGGUGUCAG